rnacentral:rRNA from 1 species
AGAGUUUGAUCCUGGCUCAGAUUGAACGCUGGCGGCGUGCUUAACACAUGCAAGUCGAGCGGUAACAGGCGUAGCAAUACGUGCUGACGAGCGGCGAACGGGUGCGUAAUACAUGGGAAUCUGCCUUUUAGUGGGGAAUAACCCGGCGAAAGCCGGGCUAAUGCCGCAUAAGAUCUUCGGAUGAAAGCGGGGGAUCGUAAGACCUCGCGCUGAAAGAUGAGCCCAUGCCGGAUUAGCUAGUUGGUGAGGUAACGGCUCACCAAGGCGACGAUCCGUAGCUGGUCUGAGAGGACGGCCAGCCACACUGGGACUGAGACACGGCCCAGACUCCUACGGGAGGCAGCAGUGGGGAAUAUUGGACAAUGGGCGAAAGCCUGAUCCAGCGACGCCGCGUGUGUGAAGAAGGCCUGCGGGUUGUAAAGCACUUUCGAUGGGAACGAAAUGUGCCGGGCUAAUACCCCGGCAAGCUGACGUACUCAAUGAAGAG